GUGUAUGCGUGUGUGCCGUGUAUGCGUGUGUGCCGUGUAUGCGUGUGUGCCGUGUAUGCGUGUGUGCCGUGUAUGCCUGUCUCUGUGUGUGCAUGUGUGUGGGAGAGAAGGGGCAGAUUCAGCUGGGUGUGAGGAGCUCCGGGAUACAGCAGUGAGGGGGUGGGGGGUCUAUUUUGGGCGCGUGCGUAAUGCAGCAGUGAAAUCAGGGAGGAGAUCCUCCCAGCGAUGCACCAGUGCCACUAAAUCAGGAGAGGGAACAAAGGCAAUGAGGUGAGAGUCCCUUUCUGCAGGGAGCGUCUCAAACUCCAUGAGCAAGAAGGCAUUUCUACCCAUGAAAAAUUUUAAUUUUUAUGUAUAUCUGUGUUAAAAUCCAGAGAGACACUGGCUACUGGAGGGAAGAAAUGCUAUUUAUUAAUUUCACUAUUGCUUUAAUUUUAGUUUUACAGGGUCGUUUAGUCAAGGUACACUGCAUGCAAAAGAGGUAAACUUUAGACAUUGUGUAAUGUGUCACGAUGCAAUGUAAUGUUGGCCAAUAUGCCAUUCCAACCAAUCAUGUGGUAGUCCUUUAAGAACGGAGAGCCAAUAAACAUACAGAGAGGUUGACGGAGUUAGCAGAGCGCGCCACAUGCUACUGCUUUGGUAAUAUCAUGAAAGAACUGAACACUUUCUUGGUGUUAACUUGGCUGGUGUCUGGGACGUGGGAGAAGGUGACAGUUCAGCAGUCACAUCAUCUCCUUAAAAAGGAACAAGGUAAAACGACGUCAUUAGUGGGCCAGUACUUUGGCAAUUUGAAGUCUGACACGCAACAGACUGGUGAUGUGCGCUGUAAAUUCUGCCGUGUGCCGACGGGAACUGGAAAUGCUGCAAACUUAUAUCCAAACUCUAAGCACCACCAUCCAAUAGACUCACAGACUCCAGCAAUUAGGGUUUCAGUAUGAAGAAAUACGGUACAAAUCACAUCCCGUAUUGGUUCGAUAAUUUUACAUUUCAGUCCGGGACAUGAGGCAACCAGAGGUCAAGACUACGGCAAACUCUGAGGGACGUAUAUCCCUAGUAUUUCCGCACUGGAGGUAGUGCUGGCCACCGUGUGUUGGAGCGGUCCGGGCAGUCGGCACGGUGGGCAGUGUGUGUCGUGAGCGGAGGGUGUCGUGUGUCUGUAUUCAAUCCUCCUAAGCGCCGUAAAUAAAGAGCGAUUCUGUUCAACCAAA